AAAAAAGGUAAGCUACUAAGAGCGAAUGGUGGAUGCCUUGACUGGUAAAGGCGAUGAAGGACGUACUAGACUGCGAUAAGCUACGGGGAGCUGUCAAGAAGCUUUGAUCCGUAGAUUUCCGAAUGGGGCAACCCAAUGUAUAGAGAUAUACAUUACCUAUAUAGGAGCGAACGAGGGGAAUUGAAACAUCUUAGUACCCUCAGGAAAAGAAAUCAAUAGAGAUUGCGUCAGUAGCGGCGAGCGAAAGCGCAAGAGGGCAAACCCAGUGCUUGCACUGGGGGUUGUAGGACUGCAAUGUGCAAGAGGUGAGUUUAGCAGAACAUUCUGGAAAGUAUAGCCAUAGAGGGUGAUAGUCCCGUAUGCGAAAAACAAACCUUAGCUAGCAGUAUCCUGAGUAGGGCGGGACACGAGAAAUCCUGUCUGAAGCUGGGUCGACCACGAUCCAACCCUAAAUACUAAUACCAGAUCGAUAGUGCACAAGUACCGUGAGGGAAAGGUGAAAAGAACUGAGGUGAUCAGAGUGAAAUAGAACCUGAAACCAUUUGCUUACAAUCAUUCAGAGCCCUAUGUAGCAAUACAGGGUGAUGGACUGCCUUUUGCAUAAUGAGCCUGCGAGUUGUGGUGUCUGGCAAGGUUAAGCAAACGCGAAGCCGUAGCGAAAGCGAGUCUGAAUAGGGCGCUUAGUCAGAUGCUGCAGACCCGAAACGAAGUGAUCUAUCCAUGAGCAAGUUGAAGCUAGUGUAAGAACUAGUGGAGGACUGAACCCAUAGGCGUUGAAAAGCCCCGGGAUGACUUGUGGAUAGGGGUGAAAGGCCAAUCAAACUUCGUGAUAGCUGGUUCUCUCCGAAAUAUAUUUAGGUAUAGCGUUGUGUCGUAAUAUAAGGGGGUAGAGCACUGAAUGGGCUAGGGCAUACACCAAUGUACCAAACCCUAUCAAACUCCGAAUACCUUAUAUGUAAUCACAGCAGUCAGGCGGCGAGUGAUAAAAUCCGUCGUCAAGAGGGAAACAACCCAGACUACCAGCUAAGGUCCCUAAAUCUUACUUAAGUGGAAAACGAUGUGAAGUUACUUAAACAACCAGGAGGUUGGCUUAGAAGCAGCCAUCCUUUAAAGAAAGCGUAAUAGCUCACUGGUCUAGUGAUUUUGCGCGGAAAAUAUAACGGGGCUAAAGUAAGUACCGAAGCUGUAGACUUGCGCACAACUUAGAUUAUUUAAGUUUAGAAUAUGAGAAACUAAGUUAUAUGUUUAGUUAUAUUUUUACUGAUUUUUAUAGAGUAAAGAUAGAAAUAAAACUUAGUAAAAUCAGUAAAAAUAUUCUUAGACUAAAGUUAAGUAGUUUAAGUUGUGUGCAAGUGGUAGGAGAGCGUUCUAUUUGCGUCGAAGGUAUACCGGUAAGGAGUGCUGGAGCGAAUAGAAGUGAGCAUGCAGGCAUGAGUAGCGAUAAUUAAUGUGAGAAUCAUUAACGCCGUAAACCCAAGGUUUCCUACGCGAUGCUCGUCAUCGUAGGGUUAGUCGGGUCCUAAGUCGAGUCCGAAAGGGGUAGACGAUGGCAAAUUGGUUAAUAUUCCAAUACCAACAUUAGUGUGCGAUGGAAGGACGCUUAGGGCUAAGGGGGCUAGCGGAUGGAAGUGCUAGUCUAAGGUCGUAGGAGGUUAUACAGGCAAAUCCGUAUAACAAUACUCCGAGAACUGAAAGGCUUUUUGAAGUCUUCGGAUGGAUAGAAGAACCCCUGAUGCCGUCGAGCC
rnacentral:rRNA from 1 species